ensembl:rRNA 5S_rRNA 5S ribosomal RNA
GUAACAGGCUAUACCACCCUGAAUGAGCCCAGUCUCAUCUGAUGUUGGAAGCUAAAUAGGGUCAGGCCUGGUUAGUACUUGAAUUGGAGAGCAAAGAAAACUGGGUUGUGCA